AGCCUUAGCACACGAGAGGCUUAAACAGGACAAGUUUUAAACCUGUUUUUAGCCUCUAAACAUGCUCUAAAUGUCAUUACAAGAGCCUCCCCAUGUGCAGUGAUUCCUUCUGAGUGAACACAGUGAAUCUGACUGCUGUAGAUGUGACAGAAAGGUAUAAAGUCGUGUUAAUCCAGCCAGAGCUCAUACCUCUGUUUGUUUCCUGUUUUCCGGUCAAGUCCACACUAGUCGAUUGUCGAACUCAUACAAUCCAAUAUUCCAGUCAGAUUCACUAUGUUCACUCAGAAGGAAUCACUGCACAUGGGGAGGCUCUUGUAAUGACAUUUAGAGCAUGUUUAGAGGCUAAAAACAGGUUUAAAACUUGCCCUGUUUAAGCCUGUUGGUGCUAACUCUAGCAGGAGGAUAACACGCUGUAGGCAGCACCGAUUGGUUUAGUUGUUCUCUCUACUGACAGAACUCCACAUUUACACACAACAGAGAUACGUGGUGUAAUAGACCGGAGUUCUCCUUUUUAAGGAUGUUUUAGAGACCCAAAGAGAUCGUAGUUCAUUCAGUUUUUGGUUUAUUUAGCACACGUUAAAGGAACAACGAUAAUACAUCAUUAGUAAGAGACAGCCAAUAAAAAGGACAUGCAAAGGUAACCCU